UUUAUUUUUUCUCUUAAGAUGUACUAGAAACUGAUGAAGAAAAUUCAGAGCCUUCUGUUACUGAAGUUCGAUUUGUUCCAUUGGAUUCAAAUAAAAUUCAACAAAUGUAUGAUGCUGUGACUCAAUGUCAAGAACUUCAUCCAGAUCCAGAAAUUAGUGAAGAAGAAGAGGAAGAAGAGGGAGAUGGUGAUGAAAGUGAAGCUAAUGAGACUUACUAUUCAACUGCUAAUACUCUUGAAGGUUUUUACACAUCUGCAGAUGACUUGGAAAACAUACAGAUGAGUGAAGAAGGAAU
rnacentral:lncRNA from 1 species